UACGUAGGAGGCAAGCGUUGUCCGGAGUUACUGGGCGUAAAGCGCACGCAGGCGGUCCCAUUAGUCUGUAGGGACAGGGCACGGCUCAACCGUGUCAGGCUUACGGAAACUGUGGGACUUGAGGGCUUCAGAGGGAUGGGGAAUUCCGGGUGGAGUGGUGAAAUGCGUAGAGAUCCGGAAGAACACCAAAGGCGAAGGCACCAUCCUGGGGGAGUCACUGACGCUCAUGCACGAAAGCGUGGGGAGCAAACAGGG
rnacentral:rRNA from 1 species